GCCCUCGUGGCGGAAUUGGCAUACGCGGCAGGUUGAGGGCCUGUGUCCGAAUGGACGUGGAGGUUCAAGUCCUCUCGAGGGCA
rnacentral:tRNA from 1 species